UACAGAAUAACUUGAGGGGCUGGAGAGAGAAGGCUCAGCAGUCAAGAGCACAGGCUGCUCCUGCAGAGACCCAGGUUCAGAUCCCCCCUUACAACCAUCCGGAACUCUGAGCAGUGGAUCCAGUGCUCUCUCUGGCCUCUAGGAUGCAGAGGGCAGAAGGAAGGAACUCUGCUGACUAGGGUGUCUCCUUCCCUGCGGGAACACCAGUGGCAGCGACGACAGCCUCGAGGAUGACUUUCUGGAGAGCGCUGAUGUGGUGCGGGGGCCCGCGGAGGGAUGGAGAAGUGGCCACAGCACUGAGCCUCACGGCACAAGAUCCAGGCCUCCAGCGGCAUCUUGAAAAGAGAGCGAGAGGCCAGACUCCCACCUAGUGCCCCCGCAGGACCAUGUGUCUGGGCACCAGGUCCCAGGUGUGGUGCUGUUUAGAGAGGUUUAGCAGGCAUGGCCUUCCUGGAGGAAGUGGGCUUUGAGAGAGGAUAGCUUCUCUUCACUUCCGGUUUGCUCUUUCUGCUUCCGGCUUCUAACUGAAGACGUGAGCUCCUGGCUUCCUGCUUCGGCCACCAUGCCACAAUGCACUCUGUCCCUCUGGAGCUGUAAGCCCAGAAUCAACCCUCUGGUUUUAUCAUAGCAGGAAGCAGUUGACACAGGAUCCCAGAGUCUAACAACGCGGGAAGCCACCAACCCUAAGUCAGCGGCUUUGAGAAAUAGGGAAGAGGCAGAGGACGCUCUCCGCCGCCAUCAAUCACGGCGCCCAUUGAACCCGGAGCCAGGUGCUUGGGAAGCACCAAGACUGCAGUACUCCUCCCUGAAUCCAAAUUCACUUAAAAGACUUUCCUCUAUUUUGAGAUACGUGGUCCUUAGAGUCAUGUCAGCAGAGGGAUAAAGUCAGAAGGAAGAGGACCUGGAAGAGGGCUUCAAAGAGCCCAACACAUGGAACUAAGUACCUGGUAGCCCUUUGAAGGUCACCACCAAGCCUCAAUAUCUGCAAAUGGCAGUUGGUGAGCCAGGCCAGGAGCCCUCUAGGCGGCAGCAAUGGUGCCGGUGCCGUGGUCCUACAUCUGGAGCGUGUCCACCAUUGGCUCUGCCCAGAACCAUCACCAAGGAGCUCCUGCACUGAGAGCAUCACACUCACCUGUCCCUUUUCUUGUCCUUCUCGUGGACCUUCUUUUCAACCCUCCUCUCUCAUGCACCUCACACUUGUUUAUUUCUGGUUCAUCGUGUCCCUCUUGCCCGUUUAUUGUAGGAGUUCCAUCCCCAAGGGGAAUUAGUCUCCCAAGUAGUAAGGCAUUCCCCUGAACAAAAUCCCCACAUUUGCUCCCAAAGACAGUCUGAAAAAGCCCAGAGCUGUGCAAGCCUCUUCUCUGGUACCCUAACCAUUUGUGCCUUUUUAGAGCCCCUGAGGGGACAUGCCUUGUUCCACCGAUAAUGCUCUUAGCAGGGACUUGCAUCCCUGUACUGGGGAUUGCAGUCCCCAGAAAGAUAAUAUAAGUGGUUGGUUCAAAUUCUGGUUGAGGAUGAGUAAUCCCAGAAGGGUUGGGGACCCGAGUCAGUGUUUCUAACACUGUGCUCCAUUCACCAGGGAUGCCUAGCAACAUGAUAAAACUGGGGGAUACCCAAACCCAUCAGAUCCUGGGAACUUUGUAUAUGCAAAAGGGUUGUUCUUCCAUUCCAGACCCCCCACUUCUUGGCUCUCCUCAUAGAAAAUGCAGUUCCUUUAGACUCUUCAAUACAGUGUAGUCAGGAGUAGGUUUGAUGCUAAAGAAAGAGAGGCUAAUAUUUUACCGCCUGGCCCUAAUACAAGCUGCCUUUAGACUAGAGCAGAAAGGAAAACUUACUUAGUUUACUACAAAGAGAGCAGCAGAUACAGGAACGGAAGACCUGCCAGUACAUGGUGGCGGGCUGUGGGGGAGUCCACAGUUGGAUAGGGUGAGCCACUUCGUGGACAGUUUCCUUGCAUAUAAUUUCCUUUAUGGCUCCCGCUGACUAUAAAGAGCAAGAAAGCUACUUUCCCAGUGGCAUGACUGCAGACUCACACUUGAGAAAGGGCAACAAAGAACAACUUCUAUGACAACCCCUUACUGCCCCUCAAAAGUAACAGUCUAGACAGAAAGCUAUGGAAGAGAACUCUUAAAAGUUAUAAUAAGGAUGCUGAAGUGUAGCUCGCCAUGAUUGAUGGCUUCAGGCAGGGGUUCAGGUCCUCCUCCUCCUCCUCUUCUUCUUCUUUUGGUGGGGAAGUCACAAGGUGGGGUGGGGCAGACCUGGGAGGACUGGAAAGUGAGUGUGAUCAGGAUGCAUG